GAUACUCGUUGUCCCUGAGCUCAACAUACAAGAACAGUGGCAGAAACUGAACAAUAAUUAUCGAAUUAAAUAUUAUGUCACUACAAAUAGCUGUUAAGGAUAUUUAUCGUUAAUUGUAUCAUAAGGAUAUAUAUUUCCUAUGUUAUAAUUUCUCUAACUUCUUAGUUCUAUAUAUCUAAAUGUGCCUUGUAAUGGCUUUCAAAUCAAAGGAGGUUUUUACAAACACUCUGCGUUUUCUUAUAAUUUAAAGUACAAUGCAAUUUAUUCCUGACCAACUUUCAUAAUUUUUCUCUGUGUACAACAGCGCCGCGAGGAGCACGCAAAUGCGCAGUCAGUAUGUGCGAAUCUCGGAAUGUGUGUGCUGGUGUUUUCCUAGCUGGCGCUGGAGUUGGAGCUGGUGAGUCGGGGGAUGCCACUGCUUUCCUGCCUCCAGUUGCUCCUCCAGUUGUGGACUCUGCCCCCGCCGCCAUAUCUUGAUUUAUGGUGAUUGAAAUAAAAGAGGCCAAGAGCGUGUCAUAAAUUUUUUCGUUCUCAGUGUUGGAGUCCCAGUCGCUCGUCGUUCGCCGCCCGUUUGGCAUUGUCUUCCGGAUGGCGAAGCGUUUGGCUUUCUGUUUCGCCAAGUGACAACAACAGCAACAGUCGGUAACAACAACUAGAACAACAACAACAACUGUUGUCCGCUUUGUUUGCCGUUGCUGCAUGCAUCACUACUACUACUACUACUAGUUUAUGUACCAAUGGGUAUGGAACUUACCUUCUCGGGAAACCAGGGCGUCACAAAUGGCAUUUGGAACGUAUUCGAGUAGGAGUGCAAUGUGUCAAAGGAGUCCGGCGAUACGGCGCCCAGCAUUGAGUAUACUCCGCGCGAGAAUUGAUUGCAAACUGUAGGUUACAGUAAUAAAUUCGUUUUGUGUU